AUUUAGUUCCACAUAAGGGAUAUUCAAAUCAUACCAUAUUCAACCACACCUGUUUAUUUGGAUGAGAACUAAUAAAUACCAGAUGACAAGCGAUAUACAAAUGAAAAUAUGUAUGUGUAAAUGAUACAUAAAAAUGGGAUGUCAGAAACUUGGAGCAUAAUCGAUGUAAUCUUUGUAUAGUAUAUGAUUUGUUUUGUGGUUUGCAGCUCUAUAUGUUAUGUUUUCUUCCAUGUGAUUGGGGUUGUUAAUAUGUCAAAGUAAAUACUAAACUUGCAGACCUGAUUGGAGACGUGACAUGUGCUGGGGAGCCUUUGAAGAAAUCCAACGGUCUGAUGACAGUGGAAUUCAAUCUCACGAAUGAGAGGGGACGAUAAAUCCGGGUUACAUUAUAAGGAUUAUUAGACAAGAAUAUGGUAAAGAAGGAAGAAGAGAAUCCAGGUGAACUUGGAGUGUCGAGCUCAUCAUCCACGCAACUUAUAGACAAAGAGGAUGUGCUUGCUUUGAAACCUUCAACUCUGCCCUCAUGUUAUCCUAACGUCUUUUCUGUGGUAGUGUAGAUUGGCAUAUGGAAUACGAUGAGAAUGGUGUUGAGCGUCGUUUUCCACUGCUUAUACUAGGCUUGAGUUUCCUGUUCCCGAGCGUAUAGAGCAUGCAACUUCACCUCAGGUGGCUGACAUACCUUCAAUCUCUUUAAAUAUCCCUAACAAAUUCAGGAUACAUGUUCCAUCGUAAGCCUUUUUAUGUAGGCUUUGCUCAAGAAAAGAUAAGAGACAAGCAUAGUUCUAAGUGAAUAACGUAUGGCUUGACUAUUCGGCCAGUAUUCUAUCAUCCUUUGGAAGUUAUCCUUUUUUUAAUACCAGGGAUGAUCUGUCACUCUUUAGGAAGGGAUGGAGGGGUGGAGGGCUACUGAGUUUUCACCUCCUACAAGACAUGCUUUACAGCCAUCUCCACUCUCUUUUGUGUGCAAGUUAAUCAAGUUAGAAGUGGCUAAGGAGGAUAACAUGGUGGCCUUUAGCAGACUCAAACUAGGAUUUGGAGCUGCAUAUCUGUAUGCCUGCUUGUUGCUUUAUGUUUAGACUAUGCCUAAGUAAAUCUUUCCCCUGCGCGGGAGUUUAUCUAUGUUCUGUUGGAUGUUAAUUCUAUGUUGUAUGUUUAUGUUUGGAUUUAUGAAAUGUGAGUUAAUUUGAGCAUUCA